rnacentral:rRNA from 1 species
GUGGCCCCAAGUCAGGCGAGCCC